AUGGAUGGUAGCCUAGUCAUUAUGAAAGGUAGUCUGUUGUCGAGAUUUUUUUAUUCCAAUGGAUGGAAGCCUUGUCAUUAUGAAAGGUUGUCUGUCGUUGUGAUUUCUGGUACUCCAAUGGAUGGUAGCCUUGUCAUUAUGGAAGCCUUGUCAUUAUGGAAGGUAGUCUGCUGUCGAGAUUUUUGUUACUCCAAUGGAUGGUAUCCUUGUCAUUAUGGAAGGUAG